UGGGGAAUUUUCCGCAAUGGGCGAAAGCCUGACGGAGCAAGACCGCGUGGGGGAAGAAGGUCUGUGGAUUGUAAACCCCUUUUGACAGGGAAGAAGCUCUGACGGUACCUGUCGAAUCAGCCUCGGCUAACUCCGUG
rnacentral:rRNA from 1 species